rnacentral:lncRNA from 1 species
AAAUGGUUUGUCUCGGAAUCAUUUUGGAACUGGUUGAAUAAACUACUUAAAACACUGCUUGAAAAAUCAAGUGACCGAAGAAGAUCCUCUAUGCCUGUAAUCCAGUCCAGGGAUCCAUUAGGUUUUAGUUGGUGGAUUAUUACUCAUGUAGCAUCAUUUUACAAGUUUGAUCGCCAUGGAGUACCAGAUGAAAUGAGAAAAGUGGAAUCAAAUUGGAACUUUGUAGAAGAACUGCUGAAAAAGUCCAUCAGUGUUCAGAGCUGUUAAUGUAGUGCUUCAUGGCCUAGAGGUCAGACUUGACCUCCUUUUAAAAUAGUUUUAAACAUGCUGUUCAUCACAUUUUUAAACAUAUUGUAUGGAAGCCCUGUAAAGUUUUGUAAUAUGUUAUCAUUUUUGUAAGAGUUUAUGGAGAAUUAUAAUAAAUAAUAUUUUGGAA